rnacentral:rRNA from 1 species
CCCUACGGGGCGCAGCAGUGAGGAAUAUUGGUCAAUGGUCGGGAGACUGAACCAGCCAAGCCGCGUGAGGGAGGAAGGUACAGAGUAUCGUAAACCUCUUUUGUCAGGGAACAAAGACUGGGACGCGUCCCCGGAUGAGUGUACCUGAAGAAAAAGCAUCGGCUAACUCCGUGCCAGCAGCCGCGGUAAUACGGAGGAUGCGAGCGUUAUCCGGAUUUAUUGGGUUUAAAGGGUGCGCAGGCGGAGGUGCAAGUCAGCGGUCAAAUUGCGGGGCUCAACCCCGUACUGCCGUUGAAACUGCAUCC